UACGAAGGGGGCAAGCGUUGUUCGGAAUGACUGGGCGUAAAGGGCGCGUAGGUGGUUUGAUGCAUGCGAUGUGAAAGUCUUGGGCUUAACCUGAGGAUGUCAUCGCACAUGGUCAGACUAGAGUAUGAGAGAGGAGUAUGGAAUUGUGCGUGUAGAGGUGAAAUUCGUAGAUAUGCACAAGAACACCAAAGGCGAAGGCAAUACUCUGGCUCAUAACUGACACUGAGGCGCGAAAGCGUGGGGAGCAAACAGG
rnacentral:rRNA from 1 species